rnacentral:rRNA from 1 species
GACGAACGCUGGCGGCGUGCUUAACACAUGCAAGUCGAACGGUAAGGCCCUUCGGGGUACACGAGUGGCGAACGGGUGAGUAACACGUGGGUGAUCUGCCCUGCACUUCGGGAUAAGCCUGGGAAACUGGGUCUAAUACCGGAUAGGACCACUGCCUGCAUGGGUGGUGGUGGAAAGCUUUUGCGGGGUGGGCUGGGCCCGCCGCCUAUCAGAUUGUUGGUGGGGGGAUGGCCUACCAAGGCGACGACGGGUAGCCGGCCUGAGAGGGUGACCGGCCACACUGGGACUGAGAUACGGCCCAGACUCCUACGGGAGGCAGCAGUGGGGAAUAUUGCACAAUGGGCGCAAGCCUGAUGCAGCGACGCCGCGUGAGGGAUGACGGCCUUCGGGUUGUAAACCUCUUUCAGCACCGACGAAGCGCAAGUGACGGUAGGUGCAGAAGAAGGACCGGCCAACUACGUGCCAGCAGCCGCCGUAA